rnacentral:rRNA from 1 species
UACGGAGGGUGCAAACGUUGCUCGGAAUCAUUGGGCGUAAAGCGCACGUAGGCGGCUUAGCAAGUCGGAUGUGAAAUCCCUCGGCUUAACCAAGGAAGUGCAUCCGAAACUGCUGAGCUUGAGUACGAAAGAGGAUCGCGGAAUUCCCGGUGUAGAGGUGAAAUUCGUAGAUAUCGGGAAGGAACACCAGUGGCGAAGGCGGCGAUCUGGGUCGAUACUGACGCUGAGGUGCGAAAGCGUGGGGAGCAAACAGG